CUCGUUGCCCCUCUCCCCCUCAGCAGUGUCUAGCCAAUGAUCUCAGCCGUGGCCUGCAAGGUUCACCCUGUCUGCACGAGGGAUCGUAAUUCAGCCUCCUGCUCACUCCUCCAAGCCUCUACUGCAUGCAGAGCGCCCGUGGUGACGGUAUGUGCCAGCUAUUCUUAGCAGCUUUGGGCUGCAGAGUGAGCUGUUUGCUUCAAACUCAUUUACGUAAGGCUUGGGCUAAUUAGAGCCCACAAAGUGACUUACAGUCCUCACCCUUCAGAGUGAGAUCUUUCACCUGCUACAAUGUGCAGCAGUGGCAAAGAGUGAGGAUCAUGAUUUACUCCAUCCAGCUAGCAAGAGAUGACAGCAAACUUUCAAACAUGGCUAAGUAUGCAACAGCAGUAGUAAUUACCUGGAAUAUGUCAGUAGGUGAACUGAUGAUUGACCUUGGCUCUAUGUGCUGUGCCACUUGGUCAAGAGCUGAAGUUUUCUGCCUUCUUGAACUGAGAAGCCCAGAAUUCGUGGAUAUCCAGGGGAGAGGAAGACUUGGAAGAUAUAAAUACAUUGGUAGCAGACAAACACUUAAACCUAUUGUCUCGCAUUUCAUACUUGGCCACAUAACCUGGGACAAUAGAACAGAAAGCCUUAAACACAGCUCUAGGCACUGUGUCAAGGUGUGCUGCUUCUGGUGCUUCUGGAUGGCACAUAUGGACAUCCGUGGGGCAUUUCCCACCUCCCUUAGGAAGCUUCCAGCCGCCCUCACACACGCUGCUGAAACAACCUGCACUGCAGUCCUCCCUCAAUUCUGUGCCCCAUUCAGAGCUGCCCACCUCAUCAUUGCCAUCAUUUCUGCUUGUGCCCAGCGUUACUGAGAGCUGCUGGGCAGGGCUCACCACAGGCCCUGUCUACGUGCUUCCACCGCGCCAACAGCCAUCAUCAAUCUCCUCGGCGCCGGGCAUUAGCAGGAUGCACACACCGCCCUCCUCAGUGGCACUACCCGGUGCUCCCCGCAACACCUGACAUCGCGCACAGCGACCCCGCAC
ensembl:lncRNA